rnacentral:rRNA from 1 species
GACGAACGCUGGCGGCGUGCUUAACACAUGCAAGUCGAACGGAAAGGCCCUGCUUUUGUGGGGUGCUCGAGUGGCGAACGGGUGAGUAACACGUGAGUAACCUGCCCUUGACUUUUGGAUAACUUCAGGAAACUGGGGCUAAUACCGGAUAGGAGCUCCUGCUGCAUGGUGGGGGUUGGAAAGUUUCGGCGGUUGGGGAUGGACUCGCGGCUUAUCAGCUUGUUGGUGGGGUAGUGGCUUACCAAGGCUUUGACGGGUAGCCGGCCUGAGAGGGUGACCGGCCACAUUAGGACUGAGAUACGGCCCAGACUCCUACGGGAGGCAGCAGUGGGGAAUAUUGCACAAUGGGCGGAAGCCUGAUGCAGCAACGCCGCGUGCGGGAUGACGGCCUUCGGGUUGUAAACCGCUUUCGCCUGUGACGAAGCGUGAGUGACGGUAAUGGGUAAAGAAGCACCGGCUAACUACGUG